AUUGAACGCUGGCGGCAUGCCUUACACAUGCAAGUCGAACGGCAGCACGGGUGCUUGCACCUGGUGGCGAGUGGCGAUCGGGUGAGUAAUACAUCGGAACGUACCUUAUCGUGGGGGAUAACGCAGCGAAAGCUGUGCUAAUACCGCAUACGCCCUGAGGGGGAAAGCGGGGGAUCGCAAGACCUCGCGCGAUUAGAGCGGCCGAUGCCUGAUUAGCUUGUUGGUGGGGUAAAAGCCCACCAAGGCGACGAUCAGUAGCUGGUCUGAGAGGACGAUCAGCCACACUGGGACUGAGACACGGCCCAGACUCCUACGGGAGGCAGCAGUGGGGAAUUUUGGACAAUGGGGGCAACCCUGAUCCAGCAAUGCCGCGUGAGUGAAGAAGGCCUUCGGGUUGUAAAGCUCUUUUGUCAGGGAAGAAACACCGGCUCUAACACAGUCCGGGAAUGACGGUACCUGAAGAAUAAGCACCGGCUAACAACGUGCCAGCAGCCGCAGUAA
rnacentral:rRNA from 1 species